GGGGCGGCGGGGAGGGGAAGGCGGGACCGGCAUCAACCCUCCGCCCCCCGGCUCCCCUCGGCUCCCCGCCCCGCUCCGCCCCGCACGGGCAGCUGUCACAGGAGGCGGCGGGGCCGGUCCCGCAGGCAGGAGGCUGCGGGAUGCAGCUCUAAGGCGGUCACUGAGAGCCGCGGUCGCCACCCGCGAGCAGCCCAUGAUGUGCCUGGAAAGCGACGGCUCCUCCGGCAGCAGCCCGGGCUGCGGCGGGCGGCUCCGAGCAGGGGACGAAGAGGAGGAAGAGGACGGUGAGCGGGGCUGCUGCGGUCGGGGAGUUGAAGGAGAAGUGCAGACCCUCUCCGGUAGGAUGAACCCGCCUGCGGUCGGCAAACGACCGGAGCGACCGAUCGCACGCCGCAAAGCGCCCAGCCUCGGCCGGGCCCGGGUGGCGGCCGCCGGCAUCCUCAGCGUGGGCAACGUGCUCAACUACCUGGACCGGUACACGGUGGCAGGUGUGUUACUAGACAUCCAGCAGCACUUUGGAGUCAAAGACAGCGGGGCUGGCUUAUUACAGACAGUUUUCAUCUGUAGCUUCAUGGUGGCAGCGCCGAUCUUUGGUUACCUUGGUGACCGUUUCAACAGGAAGAUCAUUCUCAGCUGCGGGAUCUUCUUUUGGUCAGCUGUCACUUUUUCAAGCUCCUUCAUCACUGAGCAGUAUUUCUGGCUUCUUGUGCUCUCACGGGGCUUGGUCGGCAUUGGUGAAGCAAGUUACUCAACUAUCGCUCCAACCAUCAUAGGAGACCUGUUCAACAAAAACACCAGGACCCUCAUGCUAUCUGUUUUCUAUUUUGCAAUUCCUCUUGGCAGUGGCCUGGGAUACAUCACUGGAUCAAGUGUGAAGCAGGUUGCUGGAGACUGGCACUGGGCACUGCGGGUAUCUCCACUCUUAGGAAUGAUAACAGGCACACUCAUCUUGAUAUUUGUACCUGCUGCUAAAAGAGGAAAUGUUGAACAACUUGGGGGACAGCUGAAGGCUCGAAGCUCAUGGCUAAGAGACAUGAAGGCACUGAUUAGAAACCGCAGCUAUGUGUUCUCAUCAUUGGCCACCUCAGCUGUUUCCUUUGCCACCGGAGCACUUGGCAUGUGGAUCCCUCUCUACCUUCACAGAGCACAAGUUGUGCAGAAGACAGCAGAGACAUGCAGCUCCCAGCCCUGUGGCACCAAAGAUAGCUUGAUCUUCGGAGCCAUCACAUGCUUCACUGGUUUCCUGGGUGUAAUCACAGGGGCUGGGGCAACCAAAUGGUGUCGGUUAAAAACCCAGCGAGCUGAUCCUCUUGUCUGUGCUGUUGGCAUGCUAGGAUCAGCCAUCUUCAUCUGUCUGAUCUUUGUCGCUGCCAAGAGCAGCAUCGUGGGAGCCUAUAUUUGCAUUUUUAUCGGAGAAACUCUUCUGUUUUCAAACUGGGCUAUCACAGCAGACAUACUAAUGUAUGUGGUCAUCCCAACACGCCGUGCAACCGCAGUGGCCUUGCAGAGUUUCACUUCGCACCUUCUGGGAGAUGCUGGCAGUCCUUAUCUGAUUGGAUUUAUCUCAGAUCUGAUACGACAAAGCACAAAGGAGUCCCCGCUCUGGGAGUUCCUCAGCUUGGGGUAUGCACUCAUGCUCUGCCCAUUUGUCGUUGUCCUAGGAGGGAUGUUUUUCCUGGCCACAGCCCUCUUCUUCCUCAGUGACCGAGCCAAAGCUGAACAACAUAAUGAAACCGAUUCGGACCACCUCACGGUUGGCAACUACAGUAAUUCAGAAGACGCUUCCACAUGACACACACACUCCUGGGGGUGAAUCAACUUGUGAUACCACCAGCCUCUGUGAAAGUCUGAGAUGUUGAAGGUGAAGGCAACCACGUGUGGACUCCUGCUUCCAACAACAGUCUCAAGCUCAAAGCCCUUCCCCACUGGAAAAUGGUGGCUCCCUCAGCUCCAUGCCACCCUGGAAGGGCUACGUAGCAGCACCAAAUUCACCACGCCACUCCAGCCUGCAGGGUCAGGCACCUGGAGAUGAGCAGGGCAGCCUGGAACACAAUGCUUCUUGAGCAUAAGGACAUCACAGGUUCCUCUGAGCAUCUAAAGCAACUCUCCACUGGACCCAAGUGAGUGACUGUAGAUUGUGUAUAUGGUUUUAGUUGUAGCCAAUGAAGUCCACAUCGUUACAGGACUUCUGUCCUAUUGAAUGCUGCUGUUUUGCCAGCACUCCCUCACCCAGAGACUGCACUAGUUGGGGACCUAUUCUGUACAUCACUUUUUCUUUAACACUGAAGGCUCAAUUUAGAUUAUUUUUUAUUUAAACAUGUCCUAAGAUGCUUUAUCUGCUAAAGACAUUAGAUGACAGAUAUAUAUAGAUAUAUAUAUAUAUUUAGAUAAACAGUUUUUAUUUAAACAUUUGAAAUCUGGAGCUGCCUGUGCAACCAUACCAGACAUGAAUACGUCCACAACUCUCCUCAUCUCAGUGCCCCGGUGUCAGGCCCUAGAAGGACACCACGGGAAGAGCUCCUGUGGAUGGAUGGAACCUGUCAACUGAGGCUGAAUGAUAGGACAGAGGAGAGAGUUGCAUUGCACUGGGUGUGCUGGUGGUUGUUACAGAAAGGCCCCAAACUUCGGACAGAAAUACCAAGGGGCUCCAGAUUUUGCUCAGUAUAAUAAAUUCAGCCUUACCUAUGAGGUUCACAGGUUUCUAAAAUACCAAAAUCCAUCUGGCUGAAUUGCUUUACCAAGGGCCUGGUAGUGCAAUACUGCUGUGCCAGUAACAUCAUGCUUUGUUUACAUGCAUAUCAUGUUAUGUGUAUUGUCAAUGCUAAUUCUCCCUCAUCAGUAUUUUCUGAGCAGGUAGCCAACACUCUACAGAGCUGUUUCCUUUGGAACAAUGGUUAGGUUUAUGCAUGUCCAUCUCCACACACUGUCCUAGAUUACUCUUAGUGGGAUGCCACUCAGUCAUUUAUCUUCAAGACACAAGGCCAGUGUCUGAAGUGCAUAAAAGAGCUUCAAAUGCAGAAGAGCGUGGCUGUAAAGCAGUCAGAGCUUGUGAUGGUGACUCCUCUAAAAAUAUGAGCAUUUCCUCUUCAUCUGUCACCUAAAAUGCUUCAACAAUGGCUCUAGAUCUGGCUAAACAACUAGAGCCAGAAGUUCUUUGAGUGUGUGGGCAUCCUCUGGAAAAAAGCAAGUGGGUGUUAGAAAAAAUAACAAACAGCAAAUCCAAAACAAUGUUCUGUUUCCCACCUCAUGCCCCUCUUUAGAUUUGCAGGGGAAAUACCAAUGCUGUAGAACCCAAAUUCUUGGCUUUAAAGGCGCAUGAAUUUCUGAUUCCCAUUAAGAAAUUCCUUGUUAAGCUGGUUAAAAAGAAACAAGAGGCAACCCAACAAUUAGUCAUUUCAUUUCAGAGACCAAAGAAGCUUAGCUGUAUUUCCUGAGCUGCUUUUCUGAUAGGCUCUCCCUGUUUUAGCAUUUACUGUCAACAAAAUGAAGCAUUCCUGCUCAAGUUCAGGGGUCAAGAAUUGUCCUUAAACUUAAUUCUCUGAAGGCAACAAUGAAAAGGGAACAAAGAGUUUUAUAGUUUUGCCGUCUCUCCUUGUUUGUGCCAAACUCAAUCCUUGCUGGAGAAGCACAGCACUGUUACAGGAGGCCAGCUUUAUCUUCUGUGUAUAUGAAGGAAAUUGCUGUGGAUGCUUUUUUUAACAAGGAAAAGGGAUGUGAGCAAGCAAGGGAGAAAGAAGUGAGCCCAACUUGCAGCAGUGCCAUGCCAAGGGAUCUCUGAAUUCCUCCUCCCACAUGUUCCAGGCUAAGCAAAGGAAGCCCAAGCAGAAUAGCUCAGUGAAGAUGAACAGGAGAAAGGACAGGAAACCUGGCUGCUGCCCAUUUACAUGUUGUGAUCUGCAUUUUACUGGCUGAAAGCAGAAAGGUUGGAUUUCUUCUUGAGUAUGUCUUGCUUUAGCUGCAUAUUUGUAUUCCUAUCUGGAAGAAUUGUUCAGUUAGAGCUCCUAUAAAAGCUUUUGGUCUAUUAGAGUGAAACCAGCUCACUCAGAUCAACAGGAUUAAGUCAGCAAGAAGAGGUACAUCAAAUCUGGGCAUGGAACAUCCAUGUCAACAAACAGAAACCGGGCCUGUGUUACCAUCCAUGUCCCCUCCUUGGGUUCUAACGCAGUAUUCCCCAUCCCAAGAUGUCAACCCAUUUCUGCCAGUAUGCAACUUGAGCAACAUAUAGAUUGAAUACAGACCGCUUGUAUCAAAGCUGAACAGCAACUCUUAUUAACACUAGUAUUUGUUUUUUUAAAGAAAGGCUGUUAAUUGGAAAAGAUAAUUGAUUUUAAAUACAUAUCUUUUAGUACCCACCACAGCCAAUGAAGCAAGAUUCCAAUCCGUCACAUACAUAAAUGGUUGUUUAGAUCAUCAGUGUUACGUUUCAGACUCAAAACUUCAACAUAAGAUUAAAUAGUCCCAAUUAGAACACAAAUACUUUUAAAGCCCCCGAUCUCCUGCACAUAAAAUGACUUAUGAAUGUCUGCAACUUAGUGUGCAUAAAAAGCGGCUCUUGUAUGCAUUUGAGAACAUGGGAAAACACCACCAAAAGGGAGCAAGUACUACUAAUGUCCUCCCAUCCCAGCACCAAUACAUCUCCUUGGAAGAAAAGCCAAGCGAUGGGAAAGGCAGACAGGUUUUCAGCAUCAGGAUCUGUGCCUGACCCCACAGGUGUAGGGUGUUCAGAGGGGAUGGUCCAGGAUCAACCCUUUUGAAUCCUGACAGCUUUCUUUUGCUUCACUUCAUGAAUGGUGUGUGGUUUUGUUUUUAAGCAAGCAUUAACUCCCUCUGCAGCCAGUACUGCAUUUGCACCAAUGUACUCGCUAUGAAGCAACUAGACUGCUUGUACACAGCAAGAGGAAGAGGUAAUGGGAACUGCACAAAGAGGCAAGAAAAUUACCCAAAAAGCAGCAAGCUGCCAAGCCAAGUAACCACACUGCCUCCUGCUGCUGUCACUCAGCUUGUAUCUGAGUGGGGGAACCCAACAGCCUCUCACCUCUUACAGAACUAGCUAAGGGAGAACCUCAGGGUGACAGAUUGCUAUGAAAUGAAUGGAUGUUGAAUGGAAAUCAGAGUUAUUCUCUGCACCUUCUGCCCUAAUUGUUGUCUUCUCCAUUUGCUUUAUUGUUUGGUAAACCAGCGCUUACUAUCACCUUUACUACGUGAUGUAUGGGAGUAUACAGUAUAUUUUCUUGUUAUACAAGGGAGAGUAUAAAAUAGUUUUCUGAUUUCUUUCAGAAGCAAAUGACUAUUUUAUUUUUUAAGAGCAAUCGAUUGUGAAUCUCAGAGUAUAAAAAAAAAAAGAGAGAGAAAUAAGCCAAAUCUAUACCUUUAUGUAAAUUAAGAAAUAAAAGUAUUUAAAACAUA